AUAGCUCGAUUGAUUUACUUUGCUGUGAGAUUACACAUGUAUAUAGUGUUUAUUCUAUAAUAUGUCAGUAUCAACUCACAAAGUUAUCAGGUUAAAAUAGCUUUAUCAAUUAAUAAAAGUGUUGUUGCAUGAUUGUUAUUCCGUGGCUUUAUUUAUAUGUCAUUCCUGCGAAAGCAGGAAUCCAGUAAAAUAUAAUGUCAUCUCGUGGCUUGUCCACGGGAUCUCAGGAUACAAAUUGUGAUACAAGAUAAUUAAGCCAUGCAACAACACUAACAGCAACCAAUACAAAUCUAUUAUUUAAAAAGUUUGUAUUGCUAGCUUGGUGGUUAUAGCAUGAGUGAA
rnacentral:misc_RNA from 1 species